rnacentral:rRNA from 1 species
UACGUAGGGGGCUAGCGUUGUUCGGAAUCACUGGGCGUAAAGCGCAUGCAGGCGGCUUGUUAAGUCGGGGGUGAAAUCCCGAGGCUCAACCUCGGAACUGCCUUCGAUACUGGCAAUCUUGAGUCCGGGAGAGGUGAGUGGAACUGCGAGUGUAGAGGUGAAAUUCGUAGAUAUUCGCAAGAACACCAGUGGCGAAGGCGGCUCACUGGCCCGGUACUGACGCUGAGGUGCGAAAGCGUGGGGAGCAAACAGG